GACGAAGGGGGCUAGCGUUGUUCGGAAUUACUGGGCGUAAAGCGCGUGUAGGCGGUUGCCCAAGUCGGGUGUGAAAGCCUUGAGCUCAACUCAAGAAAUGCACUCGGUACUGGGUGACUAGAGGACCGGAGAGGAUAGUGGAAUUCCCAGUGUAGUGGUGAAAUACGUAGAGAUCGGGAAGAACACCAGUGGCGAAGGCGGCUAUCUGGACGGUUUCUGACGCUAAGACGCGAAAGCGUGGGGAGCAAACAGGAUUAAGAAACCCG
rnacentral:rRNA from 1 species